UCGAACUUGGCUUAAUAAAAAUACGAGAUACAUUUGAGUUUUAGUAAAUAACCCCCUUAUAUCUCUAGUGAAUUCUUGUUGCCUAUUUGCAGAUUCAUUUUUGUGAUACAAACUUUUUUUUCAUUCUUCAACAGAAAAAAACCAUCAAAUCAACUGAAUCUUUGGAUCAGAAUGAAAUCGUUGUGGCUCAGACACGAGAAGAAGAAGAGCCAACAGAAAGCUUCUGCCUGGUACAACCAAUUGAAAUUGGCCAAGUCAUCAGCCAAGAAACAACCGAGACCUCUGGCGUUACCAGCUGCCAAGAGGAACCAGUGCAAGAAGAACAAACUGGCACCAACAACUGCCAAGGAAA